AAUNAUAAUAAUCAUUAUAUAAAUUACAAUUUUAUUACGUCAUGUGCCAAACGUAUGUGAUAAAGAUAAAAUAAAAAAUAAACUUAUGGGUCGAGUAGACAAGACCNUAUAAUUCUCCGACUUCCACAAAGAUGGCGUCAAAGACAAUUUCAUUUAUUUAAAUACUCAUAUUUUUGUGCGCUUUUGUGCUGGUUGCUUCCUGAAGUUGUUGUCGUUCAACAGACACGCAAACAUUGUACCGAGACAUUUACCAAACAUAUAUUGACUGUACUCACAAUUCACCUGAUGCAUUUAGAACGAUUAUGUAGAUAUAAUACACAUGCAGCAAUUAACGGUAACGCACGUAAACUGGA
rnacentral:lncRNA from 1 species